CCCUCCCCCGGCGCUCGGGGGCGGGCGCUCCGGGUUCCGCCGUGGCGAGCGCGCGCUCCCCGCCCUUUUGCAAUGGGCAGCCUCCGCGAGUGGCCGCUUCUUUCCGUGACCAGGGGUUUCGUCAGGGUCCUUUCCAUGGACCGUGCGGCCGUGGCACGGAUGGGCGCGGUAGCGAGCGCCAGCGUGUGCUCCCUGGUAGCGGGGGUGGGGUCGGCUGACCUUGAACUGAAGACCGGGAGGAAGACCAAGAUCUUGGAGAUGAAAAUUCAGAAAAUUAGCCACACCUGCUGUCCUGUCUGGGUGCAACAGUGUUAGGAACUCCCAUAUUUCCAAGCUUCUGAAGUCAAGUCACAAUUUUAAAUAAGCUGAAGUGCCCAGAUGUCCUCUCUCAGCAAAACAUUUUCUGUGUAGGUAUUGUACAGACCCAAGAUGCUCAGUUACCUAUUUCUUUUUUCUUCCCUCUUUUUUCUUUUUUCUUUUUCCCAUUAGACAGUCACAAUUAAAAGGCAGACAUCCACAUUGUGUUUGACAUAGUGAGUACUCAAUACUUCACAAUGAACCCAAGCAUUUGGUGCUGACUUUUCAGUUUGGAAUCCAGAAGUCGUUUUCAGCAGAGUUCUGGCACCCAGAUACCCAGAUCCAUCAAUUUUAACAUUUUGUCAUAUCAUUCUGUCUACCCAUCUAUCUAUCUUUCCAUCCAUCCAUUCAUCUAUUUUCUAAACAUUUGAUAAUGUAUAUCUCAUGCUCCUUAAACACUUAAUACUUCCAUGUACAUUUCCUAAGAACAAGGAUAUUCGCUUAUAUAACCACUUUAGGUACUGUUAUCAAGUUUGAAAAAUAGAUAUAAAGCUUAUAGUCUAUAUUCCAGUUUUUUCAUGUGUCCCAAAAAUGUUCUUUGGGGCUUUCUCUCCUUCAUUAUUUGAUCCAGCAUAGGAUCAUGUAUUGCAUUGAUUGUUACUGUCUCUUUACUUGCUCCUUUUUUUUUUUAUUGUGGAAACAUAUAUACAAUACAAGCAUCUCAGCCACUCCCAAGCCUACAGUUCAGUGGGAAUAAUCACAUUCACAGUGUUGUGCUACCCUCACCGUCAUUCAUUACCAGACAUCUCUCAUCAGACCAAACAGAAACUGUGCACCCAUUAUGCAUUCUUCCUCUUCCCUACCCUCUAUUCCCCCGCCUAGUCCCUGGUAACCCAUACUUUACUUUCCAGC
rnacentral:lncRNA from 1 species